UGGGGAAUUUUGGACAAUGGGCGAAAGCCUGAUCCAGCAAUGCCGCGUGUGUGAAGAAGGCCUUCGGGUUGUAAAGCACUUUUGUCCGGAAAGAAAUCCUUGGCUCUAAUACAGUCGGGGGAUGACGGUACCGGAAGAAUAAGCACCGGCUAACUACGUGCCAGCAGCCGCGGUAAUACGUAGGGUGCAAGCGUUAAUCGGAAUUACUGGGCGUAAAGCGUGCGCAGGCGGUUUGCUAAGACCGAUGUGAAAUCCCCGGGCUCAACCUGGGAACUGCAUUGGUGACUGGCAGGCUAGAGUAUGGCAGAGGGGGGUAGAAUUCCACGUGUAGCAGCGAAAUGCGUAGAGAUGUGGAGGAAUACCGAUGGCGAAGGCAGCCCCCUGGGCCAAUACUGACGCUCAUGCACGAAAGCGUGGGGAGCAAACAGGAUUAGAUACCCUGGUAGUCCACGCCCUAAACGAUGUCAACUAGUUGUUGGGGAUUCAUUUCCUUAGUAACGUAGCUAACGCGUGAAGUUGACCGCCUGGGGAGUACGGUCGCAAGAUUAAAACUCAAAGGAAUUGAC
rnacentral:rRNA from 1 species